GGUUUUUAACUUAGAUUUGGGUGGCGGACGGGUGAGUAACGCGUAAAGAACUUGCCUCACAGCUAGGGACAACAUUUAGAAAUGAAUGCUAAUACCUGAUAUUAUGAUUUUAAGGCAUCUUAGAAUUAUGAAAGCUAUAAGCACUGUGAGAGAGCUUUGCGUCCCAUUAGCUAGUUGGAGAGGUAACAGCUCACCAAGGCGAUGAUGGGUAGCCGGCCUGAGAGGGUGAACGGCCACAAGGGGACUGAGACACGGCCCUUACUCCUACGGGAGGCAGCAGUGGGGAAUAUUGGACAAUGGACCGAGAGUCUGAUCCAGCAAUUCUGUGUGCACGAUGAAGUUUUUCGGAAUGUAAAGUGCUUUCAGUUGGGAAGAAAAAAAUGACGGUACCAACAGAAGAAGUGACGGCUAAAUACGUGCCAGCAGCCGCGGUAAUACGUAUGUCACGAGCGUUAUCCGGAUUUAUUGGGCGUAAAGCGCGUCUAGGUGGUUAUGUAAGUCUGAUGUGAAAAUGCAGGGCUCAACUCUGUAUUGCGUUGGAAACUGUAUAACUAGAGUACUGGAGAGGUAAGCGGAACUACAAGUGUAGAGGUGAAAUUCGUAGAUAUUUGUAGGAAUGCCGAUGGGGAAGCCAGCUUACUGGACAGAUACUG
rnacentral:rRNA from 1 species